rnacentral:rRNA from 1 species
AUUGAACGCUGGCGGCAUGCCUUACACAUGCAAGUCGAACGGUAACGCGGGGCAACCUGGCGACGAGUGGCGAACGGGUGAGUAAUGCGUCGGAACGUGCCCAGUAGUGGGGGAUAGCCCGGCGAAAGCCGGAUUAAUACCGCAUACGACCUGAGGGUGAAAGGGGGGGAUCGCAAGACCUCUCGCUAUUGGAGCGGCCGAUGUCAGAUUAGGUAGUUGGUGGGGUAAAGGCCUACCAAGCCGACGAUCUGUAGCUGGUCUGAGAGGACGACCAGCCACACUGGGACUGAGACACGGCCCAGACUCCUACGGGAGGCAGCAGUGGGGAAUUUUGGACAAUGGGCGCAAGCCUGAUCCAGCCAUGCCGCGUGCGGGAAGAAGGCC